AAGUGAAGAGGAAUAUCACUAGACUGUAGUACUAAGACUUCUAUAAAUGUUAAAAAUGUAUCAUUAAAUAAGAGCUAAUUGAUAACCAUCAUAUUUAAUUCAAGAAUGGAAAGCAACCGUAUGUAUGAACCAAUAUUGGAUGAAUGGUCUACAUAAUAAAAACAAAAUGUGAGUAGGUUGUUAUGGUUUGGUACUCUUAAGUCUUUAUGGAAUAAAAUUGUAAGACAAAUCUUAUGGCCACAUUUUGUCCACACCUUUCAACAAAUAGAAAUGCUAGUAGCCGUCACGUUACCUUAUUUCUUCCCUUCCCUUUCCGCUUUCCGCUUUCCACUUUGAUAGUUGACACGGUCAAAAACUCAUCAUGCCGUCCAUUGCCCAUAUUUUAGUAGCCUUCCCACUCACUCCACCUUCGUUCCAAUACAAACACACUCUUCUACCACACAAUUUAUGGCCUAUCUAACAGAAACGCUUUUAUCGUAAAUGGACUCUAAGAUUGAUUGAAUCAAUCAUAUUAAUCUUUUUAAAAAACCAAGGAAAACAUUGAUCAAAUAAAAGUGAGAGACAAGACGAUAAGUUCAAUUAAUCUCAAAAACCAUUUCAAUAAAAAUCCUUUUGUUUGUUAUUAUUAUUAGAAUAAAUUAAAAAUCUAUUAGCAAGAAACAAGUUUAGAAAAUUUUAAGCACUAAUGUAAAGCAUUCAUUAUUCAACAUGUGACGUAUAUUAAGUUUCAUACGAGCAUGAGUGAUAGUUUCACAUAACAUUUCGAUAAUUUAACUUUGAUAAACUGAGACGAUGUUAAAAUGUAAGCAUUCAAGUAUAAAUCAUUAGUGCCACUUAGUACUACGGUCUAAAUGUAUUCCUCUUUACUUGUAAGUGAGAGGUCUUAGGUUCGAUUAUUGUCAAAGGUAAAUUUGAACUAAAUAUUAUGGCUGGUUCAUUAUGAGACUUAGCCCACUUUCCCACCAUUUAAUGUAGAUAAUAUUGUUUGUUAAAAAAAAUAUAAAUCACUAGUGGGUAGGUAUACCGUAUAUAUGUUGGUCCAAGUUUGGUGGAGGAUAUGGUGAAGUUUGGACAUUUUUCUAGACAUUGUUGAGAGUAUUAAAUGCUCAAAGGAUAGGUUAGCACUAAGAGCUUCAAAUUACAAAUGGAUGAAGUCGUUCAAAAGCACGUUUGGUACUCACUCCUACACAUUCAAGCCUCAUGCUUGCUUCUGCACACCACACGCACUUACAAAAACCAAUUUUGGCCGCUAAAAGCAAAGAAGUUGGAGUCAACAACAAUGUGAGUGUGGCUUCCUACUCACCUUGUGUUUAUAUUUGCUUCAGAAAGCCAGACACCAAGUGAGACAAUUUUGGAGGAUAUUUGAGAAUACCCAUCUGUUUUUUUUUUUUUUUUUUUUGCCAAAGUUUUGGACCUUUUGGUUCAACCCAACCCAACCCAUGUGUGCUUAUGUUUGGGAUUUGGGCCUAAAGUCUAAGUUCAACAAACUCAAGUUUGGAGACUACAUUGAGUGGGCUUUAUUUAGAGAGGAAGGUUAAUCACACGCAUUGUAUUUGAGAUUUGGGUCAUACUUGAGGUGUUUGAGAUUUCCAUCAAGGCCCAUUAGAGGAAAGAAAUUUCAUUGUGACCAGAACACGGAUGGUACACUACAUGUUUUUAUACAAGUGUUGGGAAAUAAUAUUUUUUAACACACAUAUCCCACCAUUUGUAUAAUGACACGUGAUGUACCACAUCGUGUUCCCGUCACACUGGAAAAUAUCUCCCCCAUUAGAGGUUGCAUUGGUCGUAAGAUCCACUUUCAUGAUAAAUUCAUUCCAUACAAUGAACAAAAUGUUUGUUAUGCUUAAUAUAUUCAGUUUGAUCUGUAUCUGUUUUAAUUAUGUUCUUUAUUUAAGUAGGUCUUUCGCUGCCUAAUUGCGCCUAGGCUUUUUUAAAUCCUUCAAGGUUUUUGUCAAUUUAGGGGUGAAUUUGUUUUUGAACUUAGAAGUAGCUACUUUGCUGGCUUUUCUUAAAUACGAAAUCAUUGUGCUAUACCGUAAUACGAAUGUCCUUCCAGCUUCUCGGUUCUGCACCCCCACCCCAUCAAAAGAAAUAAACAGGAAACAUGCUUGAAUAAAUUAUAAAACACUACUAAUAAAUAAAUAAAAUUAUAUACAUAAAAAAAACACUACUACACUAUCUCAAACAAGAUUUUAAUAUUUCAGAGUACCUAACAAAAUAUUUAACAUUUGAUUAAAAAAAACAUAAUAUCUAGACACUGUGAGUGCAUGUGUAUAUAAAAUCAUAUAUUAUAUACAUAUAUAUAAAUUGGUGGUUAGAUUUUUAAAAAUAAUUUGGGGUGUGAUAAGAAAAUAAUGGUUUCAUUAAAAAAAUUUAGAGUUUAAAUCGUCAUUUUAUACAAGUUGUUUAACACACAUUAUUGAGUGGGUACAAUU
rnacentral:lncRNA from 1 species